rnacentral:rRNA from 1 species
CCUACGGGUGGCUGCAGUGGGGAAUAUUGCGCAAUGGGCGAAAGCCUGACGCAGCGACGCCGCGUGAGGGAUGAAGGUCUUCGGAUCGUAAACCUCUGUCAGCAGGGAAGAACGGUCACUGUGCUAAUCAGCAUUGAAUUUACGGUACCUGCAAAGGCAGCACCAGCUCACUCCGUGCCAGCAGCCGCGGUAAUACGGCGGGUGCGAGCGUUAAUCGGAGUUGCUGGGCGUAAAGCGAUCGUAGGCGUUAUGUCAAGUCAAGGGUGAAAUCCCCGCGCUCAACGUGGGAACUGCCUUUGAAACUGGCAGACUGGAGUGUGUGAGAGGAUAGUGGAAGUCGAGGUGUAGGAGUGAAAGCCGUAGAUAUCUGGAGGAACAUCAGUGGCGAAGGCGACUAUCUGGAACAUAACUGACGCUGAGGAGCGAAAGCGUGGGUAGCAAACAGGAUUAGAUACCCUUGUAGUC